rnacentral:rRNA from 1 species
GAUGAACGCUGGCGGCGUGCCUAAUACAUGCAAGUAGAACGCUGAAGGAGGAGCUUGCUCUUCUGGAUGAGUUGCGAACGGGUGAGUCACGCGUAGGUAACCUGCCUGGUAGCGGGGGAUAACUAUUGGAAACGAUAGCUAAUACCGCAUGACAACAGUUAUUGCAUGAUAACUGUUUAAAAGGGGCAACUGCUCCACUACCAGAUGGACCUGCGUUGUAUUAGCUAGUUGGUGAGGUAACGGCUCACCAAGGCGACGAUACAUAGCCGACCUGAGAGGGUGAUCGGCCACACUGGGACUGAGACACGGCCCAGACUCCUACGGGAGGCAGCAGUAGGGAAUCUUCGGCAAUGGACGGAAGUCUGACCGAGCAACGCCGCGUGAGUGAAGAAGGUUUUCGGAUCGUAAAGCUCUGUUGUAAGAGAAGAACGAGUGUGAGAGUGGAAAGUUCACACUGUGACGGUAUCUUACCAGAAAGGGACGGCUAACUACGUG